rnacentral:rRNA from 1 species
UACGAAGGGGGCUAGCGUUGCUCGGAAUCACUGGGCGUAAAGCGCACGUAGGCGGCUUUUUAAGUCAGGGGUGAAAUCCUGGAGCUCAACUCCAGAACUGCCUUUGAUACUGCGAUGCUGAGUUCCGGGAGAGGUGAGUGGAACUGCGAGUGUAGAGGUGAAAUUCGUAGAUAUUCGCAAGAACACCAGUGGCGAAGGCGGCUCACUGGCCCGGUAUGACGCUGAGGUGCGAAAGCGUGGGGAGCAAACAGG